AGCUUUGCGCAGUGGCAGUAUCGUAGCCAAUGAGGUUUAUCCGAGGCGCGAUUAUUGCUAAUUAAAAAAAGAAGCCAGUUUAAAAAAAAAAAAAAGGCUAUGUGGAAGAAGCCAGCUACAUAUUGUAUGAUUCCAUUUACAUGA